CCUAUAAACUUUAAUGGUACUUUCUGCGCCUAUCAUGAUGACCACGGGUAAUGGGGAAUCAGGGUUCGAUUCCG